AGGAUGAACGCUGGCGAGAUGCCUUACACAUGCAAGUGUACGAGAAUUUUAAUUCAAGUGGCGGACGGGUGAGUAACACGUAAGAAUUACCUUUAGGAGGGGGACAACAAUUGGAAACGAUUGCUAAUACCCCAUAUGCUUUUAUAGUGAAAUGAAUUUUUCGCCUAAAGAGAAGCUUGCGGCUGAUUAGCUUGUUGGUAAGGUAAUGGCUUACCAAGGCGACGAUCAGUAUCUGGUUUGAGAGGAUGAUCAGACACACUGGAACUGAGACACGGUCCAGACUCCUACGGGAGGCAGCAGUGGGGAAUUUUCCGCAAUGGGCGAAAGCCUGACGGAGCAAUCUCGCGUGAGGGAUGACGGCCUAUGGGUUGUAAACCUCUUUUUUCAGGGAGGAAUAAAAUGACGUGUACCUGAAGAAUAAGCAUCGGCUAACUCCGUGCCAGGAGCCGCGGUAAUACGGAGGGUGCGAGCGUUGUUCGGAUUUACUGGGCGUAAAGCGCGCGCAGGCGGAUUAGCAAGUCAGAUGUGAAAUCUCGGGGCUUAACCCCGAAACUGCGUCUGAAACUGUUAAUCUAGAAUCAUGGAGAGGGUAGGGGAAUUUCACGUGUAGGGGUAAAAUCCGUAGAGAUGUGAAGGAACACCAGAGGCUAAGGCGCCUACCUGGACAUGUAUUGACGCUGAGGCGCGAAAGCGUGGGUAGCAAACAGGAUUAGAUACCCUGGUAGUCCACGCCGUAAACGAUGAGUACUAGUUCUUGGAGGUAUUGACUCCUUCAGGGACGCAGCUAACGCAUUAAGUACUCCGCCUGGGAAGUACGGUCGCAAGACUAAAACUCAAAGGAAUUGACGGGGGCCCGCACAAGCGGUGGAUUAUGUUGGUUUAAUUCGAAGCAACGCGCAGAACCUUACCUAGGCUUGAAAUCCCGGGAAUCUGGGGUAAUGCCCCGGAAUGCCCCCAAGGGAAUCGUGAGACAGGUGCUGCAUGGCUGUCGUCAGCUCCGUGUUUGUGAAAUGUUGGGUUAAAGUCUCGCAACGAGCGCAACCCCUAUCUUUAGUUGCCAGCAUUAAGUUGGGCACUCUAGAGAGACUGCCCGGGUUAACCGGGAGGAAGGUGGGGAUGACGUCAAGUCCUCAUGGCCCUUAUGCCUAGGGCUACACACGUAAUACAAUGGUGCAUACAAUGGGAAGCGACCCGGUGACGGUGAGCAAAUCUCAAAAAGUGCAUCUCAGUCCGGAUUGGAGUCUGCAACUCGACUCCAUGAAGUUGGAAUCGCUAGUAAUCGUGGAUCAGAAUGCCACGGUGAUACGUUCCCGGGCNUUGUACACACCGCCCGUCACACCAUGGGAGUUGUUUUCAUCCAAAGACGUGACUCUAACCUUCGGGGGGAGAGCGUCUACGGUGGGAGCGAUGACUGGGGUGAAGU
rnacentral:rRNA from 1 species